GGUGGGGGUGGGGGUGGGGGUGGGGGCAGCCUGGCUGGCCAGAGCGCAUUCUUCCUGACCGCCUCCUCUCAGAGGAUUCCUGCCUGAGUCUGGUGCCCACCGCACAGCUCCUGGUCUUAACCCACUCAACUAAGCCACCCUUUCUUACCUCACUACCUCACCUGAGUCAGGAAGCAAAAGAUUCCUGGCCCUGGACUGGAGCAGGGCACAGAAGAACAAGGUCCCCUAACUGCCUGCCACUGGGGAGGAAAAGAGAGGCUUGAAGGGCAUCUGUUUAAACAGGCUUGGCCGGGAGGCCCCGAGUCCCAGCCAUGAGGCGGAGCCGGACCGCGGCAUCCUUCCUGCCUAACGAGCGAGUCCGAGAGGCGGCAGAAUUGAGCCCUGCGGCUGUCGGCCCCCCCAGGCAGCAGCGCAGUCCGCAGGCGCUUCUCUGGGACCCCGCAGCUGCCGCCGCUCACGUGGCGCCACGGCCCAGUGGGAGAGCCCGCCCGGGCCCUAGAGCCUGAAGCCAGUGCCCGGGUCGUGUUCAGCAUUGAGGAGCGAGUGUCCGAGCGUGGCUAUCCCCCGACUGGCAGCAGGUAAGGG
rnacentral:lncRNA from 1 species